GUGUUGCUGACAAGAGAGGAGCAGGCUGAGAGAAAACGCCCUGUUUGUCACAAAGUUACAUCUGCGAGCUCCUUCAAGGAAGGGAGUGCCCCUGGAGAGUGGAGAGGGUGGUUCUCUUGGCUGUCUCUGGAACAAAUUUGGGUAAGUGCUCAAAGAUGUGUUACUACAGAAUGUACUUGUGAAGUUCUUGUUGCAGUGCAGUCAGAUAAGCAAAGAUAUCUGCUAGAAAAUAAAGAAAAAGCUACACAAUUUUAGACUUUGUAGUUCAUUGUCUUUUAAGACAGCAAGUCCUGCUAUUGUCUGUCAUAAAGCUACAGAAAAAGACCAUAUUGAAAACUGACGAUAGCAGUUGAUUAUUUGUGAAAAGCCUGAGAGAUGAUUCAGUAAAUACAAGGUGAAUUUCAUUGCAUCUUCAUGCAAUCAGAGACUUGCAUACACUUUUUAUCCCCUAAACAGAUGAACGAAUGGCAUGGGCCAGCUAGCAGGGAGUUGGCAGGAUAAAGUUCUAACCAACAAUUGCCACUUGCCUUCCUUUCUUCCAUCAGCUUCUAGCUUACCUUUCAGAGACAGGUUCUAUCAAAGGAAACCUAAAGGGAACCUUCCUCCCUGGCCCUGCCCCAUCUAGCGUCCACAAGGAUACUACACUCCAGUGAAGACU
rnacentral:lncRNA from 1 species